UGGCGGCCAUUCCUGGAAAAAGAUUCGAACUGCUGGGAACGGAAUGAGAAGAAAAUGACCGCAAGUUGGUGAAAUUUGCGCCCGAAUGCCUACACAGGAGAUGCCAGCGUCCUGUCCAGGGAACCAGUUGUCCCUCACAAGUGUAGCCACCGCCUGACAACCAAUGCACCACUGGGAGAUCCUCACUAGCAGCUGAGAGUUACAGACUUUACAGCCGGCAUUCUUUCCACAGGAGGGCGAAGUCUCCAAGAUUGGUUCGAAC